AUUUUCUUUCCUAAAAACGAAAGUGAAAAUUAUUCUCGAGCUGUGAACAGCUCCACAAUGUAAUGCAAAUCUGAAUAUUUUUCCCCUUUUUCCUACAAAUUCCUUUCUUCUUCUUCUCCCACACAAUCUCACUCUUCAACGCUGCACUUUGCUCCUUUUUUUUCUCUAUCCAUUUUUCCUGGUACUGUAUAUCUUCAAUUCUUUUCUAUUCAAUAUUCAUUGCCGACAACAAUGCCUUUCACUUUGUGAUUCACGUCUUGUUCGCGUAAUCCACCUGUUUCAGAUCUUGGAUUUCACGUUCAAUUUUAAGUAAAUUGAU
rnacentral:lncRNA from 1 species